rnacentral:pre_miRNA from 1 species
CAGUGAUGAUUGCGAUGAUGAUGAUGAUGAUGAUGAUGAUGAUGAUGAUCAUCAUCAUCAUCAUCAUCAUCAUCAUCAUUUCCU